GGUUAAGCGACUAAGCGUACACGGUGGAUGCCCUGGCAGUCAGAGGCGAUGAAGGACGUGCUAAUCUGCGAUAAGCGUCGGUAAGGUGAUAUGAACCGUUAUAACCGGCGAUUUCCGAAUGGGGAAACCCAGUGUGAUUCGUCACACUAUCAUUAACUGAAUCCAUAGGUUAAUGAGGCGAACCGGGGGAACUGAAACAUCUAAGUACCCCGAGGAAAAGAAAUCAACCGAGAUUCCCCCAGUAGCGGCGAGCGAACGGGGAGCAGCCCAGAGCCUGAAUCAGUGUGUGUGUUAGUGGAAGCGUCUGGAAAGGCGCGCGAUACAGGGUGACAGCCCCGUACACAAAAAUGCACAUGCUGUGAGCUCGAUGAGUAGGGCGGGACACGUGGUAUCCUGUCUGAAUAUGGGGGGACCAUCCUCCAAGGCUAAAUACUCCUGACUGACCGAUAGUGAACCAGUACCGUGAGGGAAAGGCGAAAAGAACCCCGGCGAGGGGAGUGAAAAAGAACCUGAAACCGUGUACGUACAAGCAGUGGGAGCACAGAGCAAUCUGUGUGACUGCGUACCUUUUGUAUAAUGGGUCAGCGACUUAUAUUCUGUAGCAAGGUUAACCGAAUAGGGGAGCCGAAGGGAAACCGAGUCUUAACUGGGCGUUAAGUUGCAGGGUAUAGACCCGAAACCCGGUGAUCUAGCCAUGGGCAGGUUGAAGGUUGGGUAACACUAACUGGAGGACCGAACCGACUAAUGUUGAAAAAUUAGCGGAUGACUUGUGGCUGGGGGUGAAAGGCCAAUCAAACCGGGAGAUAGCUGGUUCUCCCCGAAAGCUAUUUAGGUAGCGCCUCGUGAAUUCAUCUCCGGGGGUAGAGCACUGUUUCGGCAAGGGGGUCAUCCCGACUUACCAACCCGAUGCAAACUGCGAAUACCGGAGAAUGUUAUCACGGGAGACACACGGCGGGUGCUAACGUCCGUCGUGAAGAGGGAAACAACCCAGACCGCCAGCUAAGGUCCCAAAGUCAUGGUUAAGUGGGAAACGAUGUGGGAAGGCCCAGACAGCCAGGAUGUUGGCUUAGAAGCAGCCAUCAUUUAAAGAAAGCGUAAUAGCUCACUGGUCGAGUCGGCCUGCGCGGAAGAUGUAACGGGGCUAAACCAUGCACCGAAGCUGCGGCAGCGACGCUUAUGCGUUGUUGGGUAGGGGAGCGUUCUGUAAGCCUGCGAAGGUGUGCUGUGAGGCAUGCUGGAGGUAUCAGAAGUGCGAAUGCUGACAUAAGUAACGAUAAAGCGGGUGAAAAGCCCGCUCGCCGGAAGACCAAGGGUUCCUGUCCAACGUUAAUCGGGGCAGGGUGAGUCGACCCCUAAGGCGAGGCCGAAAGGCGUAGUCGAUGGGAAACAGGUUAAUAUUCCUGUACUUGGUGUUACUGCGAAGGGGGGACGGAGAAGGCUAUGUUGGCCGGGCGACGGUUGUCCCGGUUUAAGCGGGUAGGCUGGUUUUCCAGGCAAAUCCGGAAAAUCAAGGCUGAGGCGUGAUGACGAGGCACUACGGUGCUGAAGCAACAAAUGCCCUGCUUCCAGGAAAAGCCUCUAAGCAUCAGGUAACAUCAAAUCGUACCCCAAACCGACACAGGUGGUCAGGUAGAGAAUACCAAGGCGCUUGAGAGAACUCGGGUGAAGGAACUAGGCAAAAUGGUGCCGUAACUUCGGGAGAAGGCACGCUGAUAUGUAGGUGAAGCGACUUGCUCGUGGAGCUGAAAUCAGUCGAAGAUACCAGCUGGCUGCAACUGUUUAUUAAAAACACAGCACUGUGCAAACACGAAAGUGGACGUAUACGGUGUGACGCCUGCCCGGUGCCGGAAGGUUAAUUGAUGGGGUUAGCGCAAGCGAAGCUCUUGAUCGAAGCCCCGGUAAACGGCGGCCGUAACUAUAACGGUCCUAAGGUAGCGAAAUUCCUUGUCGGGUAAGUUCCGACCUGCACGAAUGGCGUAAUGAUGGCCAGGCUGUCUCCACCCGAGACUCAGUGAAAUUGAACUCGCUGUGAAGAUGCAGUGUACCCGCGGCAAGACGGAAAGACCCCGUGAACCUUUACUAUAGCUUGACACUGAACAUUGAGCCUUGAUGUGUAGGAUAGGUGGGAGGCUUUGAAGUGUGGACGCCAGUCUGCAUGGAGCCGACCUUGAAAUACCACCCUUUAAUGUUUGAUGUUCUAACGUUGACCCGUGAUCCGGGUUGCGGACAGUGUCUGGUGGGUAGUUUGACUGGGGCGGUCUCCUCCUAAAGAGUAACGGAGGAGCACGAAGGUUGGCUAAUCCUGGUCGGACAUCAGGAGGUUAGUGCAAUGGCAUAAGCCAGCUUGACUGCGAGCGUGACGGCGCGAGCAGGUGCGAAAGCAGGUCAUAGUGAUCCGGUGGUUCUGAAUGGAAGGGCCAUCGCUCAACGGAUAAAAGGUACUCCGGGGAUAACAGGCUGAUACCGCCCAAGAGUUCAUAUCGACGGCGGUGUUUGGCACCUCGAUGUCGGCUCAUCACAUCCUGGGGCUGAAGUAGGUCCCAAGGGUAUGGCUGUUCGCCAUUUAAAGUGGUACGCGAGCUGGGUUUAGAACGUCGUGAGACAGUUCGGUCCCUAUCUGCCGUGGGCGCUGGAGAACUGAGGGGGGCUGCUCCUAGUACGAGAGGACCGGAGUGGACGCAUCACUGGUGUUCGGGUUGUCAUGCCAAUGGCACUGCCCGGUAGCUAAAUGCGGAAGAGAUAAGUGCUGAAAGCAUCUAAGCACGAAACUUGCCCCGAGAUGAGUUCUCCCUGACUCCUUGAGAGUCCUGAAGGAACGUUGAAGACGACGACGUUGAUAGGCCGGGUGUGUAAGCGCAGCGAUGCGUUGAGCUAACCGGUACUAAUGAACCGUGAGGCUUAACCUU
rnacentral:rRNA from 1 species